CACAGAACAGACUUCAGAUCUCUGGAGACCAGAAGGCCCACCUCUUCAGGGGGAUUAGGGCCUUGGGAGGUGAGUCAUAAGAGGAACUUCGAAGAGGUCUCCACGGACUCGGCACUAUGAACCUAUUUCUCCUUCUCGUCUUCGUCGUCCUCUUCAACUCUCAAGUAAUGCCAGGUUAUAGGCACGGUGAAGUGUAUCAUUUCUGUGACUCACAUACAAGCGUGUGCCUGAGGAGGAAAAGAAACUGUAUGAUUCGCAUGCCGGGGAUAUGCCCCGGAAGGAGCUUCUGUUGCAUAAGGAUGCAUAAGUGAAUGGAAGAAUUCGUGUUUAAUGAAUCUACCCUGAAUUAAGUAAACUGAAGAAGUCACGCUUAAUGGACCUACCCUGAAUUAAAUUGGAAGGCUGAGGUCUCAUGAUACCA